AGUGAACGCUGGCGGUAGGCCUAACACAUGCAGGUCGAACGGCAGCACAGUAAGAGCUUGCUCUUACGGGUGGCGAGUGGCGGACGGGUGAGGAAUACAUCGGAAUCUACUUUUUCGUGGGGGAUAACGUAGGGAAACUUACGCUAAUACCGCAUACGACCUACGGGUGAAAGCAGGGGAUCUUCGGACCUUGCGCGAUUGAAUGAGCCGAUGUCGGAUUAGCUAGUUGGCGGGGUAAAGGCCCACCAAGGCGACGAUCCGUAGCUGGUCUGAGAGGAUGAUCAGCCACACUGGAACUGAGACACGGUCCAGACUCCUACGGGAGGCAGCAGUGGGGAAUAUUGGACAAUGGGCGCAAGCCUGAUCCAGCCAUACCGCGUGGGUGAAGAAGGCCUUCGGGUUGUAAAGCCCUUUUGUUGGGAAAGAAAAGCAGCAGGUUAAUACCCCGCUGUUCUGACGGUACCCAAAGAACAAGCACCGGCUAACUUCGUG
rnacentral:rRNA from 1 species